CUCCGGGCAGCUGGGUGAGGGCCCAUCUGGGCAAGGCCCCCAGCGGCUGCCUUCUCUCCCAGGGCCCCGUGGGCAAGCCUCCUGCUUCACUUUCAGGUUUCUCGAAGUGCCUUCUUGCUCCUGUCUGUUUCCCCAUCCUGCCAGAUUUCUGUUUCUCUUGCUGGGCUUUUGGCAGUAGGGGGCUGUGUUGGUGGGCCCCACGAAGAUGCUCAGUGCUCGAGAUCGCCGGGACCGGCACCCUGAGGAGGGGGUAGUUGCAGAGCUCCAGGGCUUCGCGGUGGACAAGGCCUUCCUCACCUCCCACAAGGGCAUCCUACUGGAAACCGAGCUGGUAACAGCUGCCUCCCAACCUGGUGCCUCCAUCUCCCUGUCCCCCGGCUCCUGGCCAGCCUUAUGCCACCCCCUAGCUCGCCCUUCAGUAGCCUCCCUCCCCAGGCCCUCUGGACACCUCUCCUGCCCCCAGCUGCCCCUUCGUCUCCUACUCUGCCUUCUUGCUGCCUCUCCACCCGGAGGCAUUUACAGCAGGUUUCAGUUGCAGCAGGAAGGACUGCAGUUAGACAGGAUGACUUUUUGGGACAUUGAGGGAGCGUGAGACAUAGAGAUGGGACAGCGGCAAUGACAGCCUCUAACAUGGCCACUUCUCAGCAUGUCCAAGAAGUCUAACUAUCAAAAAGGGCAGACUUCCUGCAACUGCGCUUUAUCUGUGGUCUGCUGCCCAGAAACAUCUCUUCUCAGGAAAGGAUCUUCCCCUGGUUACUUAGCAAGACCACAGUGUAGACUUAAGGCCUCUGCAUGUAUGCCACCCUAGGUCAUCAGAGCUAAAGGGGCUCCCAGAAUCCACUGGGCAGCAUCUGCCUUCUCCCUUGGCAUGGAAUCAAAGGCUUUGGUCCUUGUCAGAGGGCUUUUAGGCGUCUGGGGGUGGGGAAAGCAUUAUGGGGCAGGGGGCGCCUCUUGGUCCCUGUGGAGUCGGAUCUCUGUGGGCACAACUCCAGGGGCUGGCGUUCACACUGUACCUGUGAAUUACUGUGGGAUAGUGCUCCUGGGAGCGUAUGGCUUGGCCAGACUGCUGGGGUUGCUGGGUGAGCAGAGGGAGGCCGGAGACGGCCCUUGACUGGCAAAUGUCCUGCAACGGUGGCUCCUGACACCAGGGGAUAGGGAGAUAUGCCAGAGUCCUUCCUUCCCUCCAAGGACAGGUAGUAGGUGCCAGCCUAGGGGAGCUUUUAAGGAGGGGAAGGCAAAGCCCUGGCCCCUGCCUGUGUCCCCUUCCUGGCAUGUUCCACAUGCUCGGUCCCGCAGGCCCUGACCCUCAUCAUCUUCAUCUGCUUCACGGCCUCCAUCUCUGCCUACAUGGCCGCGGCACUACUGGAGUUCUUCAUCACACUUGCAUUCCUCUUCCUCUAUGCCACCCAGUACUACCAGCGCUUCGACCGGCUUAACUGGCCCUGUCUGGACUUCCUGCGCUGUGUCAGUGCCAUCAUCAUCUUCCUGGUGGUCUCCUUUGCAGCUGUGACCUCCCGGGAUGGAGCUGCCAUUGCUGCUUUUGUUUUUGGCGUCAUCCUGGUUUCCGUCUUUGCCUAUGAUGCCUUCAAGAUCUACCGGACUGAGAUGGCACCCGGGGCCAGCCAGGGGGACCAGCAGUGACUCUGGGGCUACCUGGCUCCUAGGCCCAGCCAGCCAGAGAGGACAGUGGAGCCCAGACACGUCUCCUUGGGGUUCACUAGCCCCCAGCCCGCCAAAUCCCACCCCAGCCCUACAGAGAAGUCUGGCCUGAGACGUCACUGGGGACUUAUCUGUGGAGCCUGGUGCUCCGGGAUCUGGCUCCUCAUGAAGCUCUGGCCAGAGGAGAGGAACUUAUCGGGGGAGGGGGGGUGGAGGGGAGGAAUCUGGGCCCCUAAAUCAUUCCCAAAUUAAAAUAUUCAAAUUCU
rnacentral:sRNA from 1 species